rnacentral:rRNA from 1 species
GACGAACGCUGGCGGCGUGCCUAAUACAUGCAAGUAGAACGCUGAAGGAGGAGCUUGCUUCUCUGGAUGAGUUGCGAACGGGUGAGUAACGCGUAGGUAACCUGCCUGGUAGCGGGGGAUAACUAUUGGAAACGAUAGCUAAUACCGCAUAAUAGCAGUUGUUGCAUGACAACUGUUUGAAAGGUGCAAUUGCACCACUACCAGAUGGACCUGCGUUGUAUUAGCUAGUUGGUGGGGUAACGGCUCACCAAGGCGACGAUACAUAGCCGACCUGAGAGGGUGAUCGGCCACACUGGGACUGAGACACGGCCCAGACUCCUACGGGAGGCAGCAGUAGGGAAUCUUCGGCAAUGGACGGAAGUCUGACCGAGCAACGCCGCGUGAGUGAAGAAGGUUUUCGGAUCGUAAAGCUCUGUUGUAAGAGAAGAACGAGUGUGAGAGUGGAAAGUUCACACUGUGACGGUAUCUUACCAGAAAGGGACGGCUAACUACGU